rnacentral:rRNA from 1 species
GACAAACGGAUCAAAUUAAAAUUAAUGAUAGUAAAAAAGGAGGUUAUAGAUUUAUUUUAGAAAAAUAAUGCUCUUUAGAGAGGUGAAAUUUAGAUAAAGAGAGGUAAAUUGGGUUUUUCUUUUUUUGACGCCUCGAAAUUUUGUUUAUGAGACCGGGAUUAGAUACCCCGUUAUUCAAAAUGUAAACUUUGAUUGUAUUUAUGAUUUACUUGAGUAUUACGAGUAUAAAAGAUUUGUCUUUAUAUAUUUCUUAAAACUCAAAAAACUUGGCGGUGCCUAUAUCCUUCCAGGGGAACCUGUCCUAUAAUCGAUAGUCCACGAUUUAACUUUCUUUCUUUUGAAUUUAUUAUCAGCUUGUAUACCGUCGUCGUCAGGUUACCUUUAAGAGUUAUGAAGUUAUCGGUGAGAAUUAGAAAGAAAUUUAAAUUUAUAAUAUGUAGGUUAUGGUUUAAUUUAUAUGAGUUCUAGACGUCAGAUCAAGGUGCAGCUUAUAGGGAAGUAGAGAUGGGUUACAAUAAUGAGUUAUUAUACGAAUUUUUGUUGUAAGUAGCAAAAUUGAAGGAGGACUUGGAAGUAAUUAGUUUAAAGAUAAGAGAGCUUAAAUGAAAAUAGGCUCUGAGGUGCGC